GACGAACGCUGGCGGCGUGCUUAACACAUGCAAGUCGAACGGAAAGGCCCUGCUUGCCGGGUGCUCGAGUGGCGAACGGGUGAGUAACACGUGGGUGAUCUGCCCCUUACUUUGGGAUAAGCCUGGGAAACUGGGUCUAAUACUGGAUAGGACCAUGCUGUAGGUGGUGUGGUGGAAAGAUUAGUUUCGGAAAGGGAUGAGCUCGCGGCCUAUCAGCUUGUUGGUGGGGUAAUGGCCUACCAAGGCGUCGACGGGUAGCCGGCCUGAGAGGGUGGACGGCCACAUUGGGACUGAGAUACGGCCCAGACUCCUACGGGAGGCAGCAGUGGGGAAUAUUGCACAAUGGGCGCAAGCCUGAUGCAGCGACGCCGCGUGGGGGAUGACGGCCUUCGGGUUGUAAACUCCUUUCAGCCAUGACGAAGCCCUUGUGGUGACGGUAGUGGUAGAAGAAGCACCGGCUAACUACGU
rnacentral:rRNA from 1 species